rnacentral:rRNA from 1 species
UACGAAGGGGACUAGCGUUGUUCGGAAUCACUGGGCGUAAAGCGCGUGUAGGCGGCUUUGCAAGUCGGGUGUGAAAGCCCUCAGCUCAACUGAGGAAGUGCGCCCGAAACUGCAGAGCUUGAGUACCGGAGAGGGUGGCGGAAUUCCCCAAGUAGAGGUGAAAUUCGUAGAUAUGGGGAGGAACACCGGUGGCGAAGGCGGCCACCUGGACGGUCACUGACGCUGAGACGCGAAAGCGUGGGGAGCAAACAGG